AUACAAAACUCCAAAAAUCCCACCCCUUUCAUACCCAUAAACACCAAACCCUAACCUUAUAAGAAUGGGAUAAAAUACCUGUACUAAAUUUCCAAUUUGUUCACGAUUUCAAAUUUUUGUUUUCAAAUCAUACUAGUCUGUUCUCUUUAAGGCCUCGUUGAACAGCCGUUUCAUUGAAAGGUUGGUACUUGAAGACAACGGUAUGUGCAAUUUUUCUUCUAAAUUAGAGGUUUGUGCGCCAACUCAAUCCGCUGCCUUAUUCAUUAUUGGACUUUUUGAAUCUGGUUGAUGAGGAGCGUUCGGAUGGACUCAAUUGGUCCCCCAACUAAAAGGUUGGUGGAACUCAACCGUCAUAGCAUACAGGAUGGUCAGAAUGGUGUAAGGGAUGGGAUUACUGGUGAUGGACAGGGGCUUUCAGAAGAAGAUGAGUCAAGGAUUAAUGAGGAUGUCGAAGGUGGGAAUGAAACACAGAGGGAUUUGUUACAAGUGCAGGCUGUUUUACAGACACAGCAGCAACAGCCCCCAGGGCCUUUGGUUAGGUGGGAGCGUUUUCUUCCUCUUAGAUCCCUCAAGGUUCUGCUGGUAGAAAAUGAUGAUUCAACUCGUCAUGUUGUCAGUGCAUUGCUGCGAAACUGCAGUUAUGAAGUUAUAGCUGUGGGAUAUGCCCUUGAAGCAUGGAGGAUUUUAGAAGAUCUAACUAACCAUGUUGAUCUUGUUCUGACGGAGGUGGCCAUGCCAUUUUUGUCUGGUGUUGGUCUUUUGUCAAAGAUUAUGAACCACAAAACUCUCAAGAAUGUCCCAGUGAUUAGUAAGCAUCUUUCCUACGUAAUUUUUUUGCUUAUUCAUAUUUGGAGUUUUGCUUAAAAUCUUGAAGAUAUGAUACUUUUAACUGCUCCACCUGAUGAGUUUUGUGUGCAGUGAUGUCUGCUAAUGACUCUAUGGGUAUAGUCUUUAAGUGUUUGUCAA
rnacentral:misc_RNA from 1 species